ensembl:lncRNA
CCUGCGGCAGGGAGCAGCUGCAGGGCUGGGGCCCAUGAAGGGAGUUAUGGGACUGCAGCUGAGCUGAGCUCUGUGCUGGGGCUGUGCUGAGCACUCUGCGUGUUCUGGGGCCUUCCUGCUCGCUCUGCAGGCUGGGGGUGUCGGCUGAUGCUUUGUGCUAGCAGAGGAAGCGAGUGGCAGCCGCUUGGCCCGUCCUUCGAUGAGAUUUCUUCUUUCCUGAAGAAAUGAGAGAAUGGAGAGCCAGAGACCGUGGCAGUGUGUGGCAGAGCACAGCUUUGCGGGACUGAUGUGCACCAGCACCAAGAGGAUGCUGUAGGUGAUGGCCAGCGGGGAGCAGCCAGGGAUGUCUCUGGGUCUCAGUGUCAGCAUGGCCAGAGCCACUUGGUACCCAACUGACUGACCUGCUUCAGUGGAAGAUGGCCAAGUUGCUUAGAAAAAAUAAAAGUUGAAGCAAGCAAAUAUCAGGAGGGACGCAAGCCUUUACCCGCAGGCAGAAGGACGUGGAAGUUUUAUUGUUUUUCCUUUGGUGGUGUCCUUUUACAGUUUGGAUGCACAAUCCCAGCAAAACUUGGCUGGGAUGCAUCCGUGGCCGCUUCCCACCGCCUGCUGCCCUGCUCUGCUCCUGCAUGCAGAACUCGAAUAUGCUGAUGAAUGCAGCGUAAGCAGGAAAAAGGGGAGCACAGCAUGAUCGGAUGCAUUAACGGCUGCCUGCACGAGGCCCCUGUUCGUGUCCUGUGGUGUGUGUGAUAUUUCAUGUGACAGAGCUUUGCGACGCUUCAACUCUGUCCUGUCCGCAAAAUGACAGUCUGAUCAUCAUUGCUUUCUAUAGUUCGGGAAUGGUGGCAAAAGAGAUUUACUUUCCAGCCCCAGAUACUCUGAUCCUCUAAGGCAGCGUCCUACAAACCCAGGUACAGGUUCUUCUGUAUUGGCUGCAAGUGCUGGAACACUUUCUUCAUAGGAAUGAUAGAGAUGUGGAAGGACAAAACCAAAAUAUGCACUGCUGCAGUUUGUACAGCGUAAAAAAAUAAGGGAGCAUAAUCCAAAUAACAACAUCUAGUGCUUUUACAGGGCUCCGUGCAUAUGGCAUAAAUGACAGCUAAUUAAACUUUAUAUCCUGCCUGCAAGAUAAGCGUAUAAUUAGUAUUACAUCCCUUCUGUAAUUAGGAGACCGCAUGCAAAAAGCUGCGCCUGCAGACUGUGCUGGAAGGC